AUUCAUAUUAAAUUGAUCGUUAGAAAAGGCUCCAAUGCUAAAGAUCCAGAAGAUCUAAAUCUAGUUAUCCAGUGAUCAUCUUUGUAGAGUAAUCAAUGAGGUUCACAACCAAUUAAUGAUUCUUCUUUGUGAGAUCUGUCAACCUCUUUCUUUUUUGUUUUGGUUUCUUACAGGUGUCGCUACCUGCUUCACGUCCCAAACUAAUACAGAUUCGCACAGGCGCG
rnacentral:misc_RNA from 1 species